GUGAGGGAUUUUCCGCAAUGGGCGAAAGCCUGACGGAGCAAUGCCGCGUGAAGGAUGAAGGCCUAUGGGUUGUAAACUUCUUUUCUCAGAAAAGAAUUAUGACGGUAUCUGAGGAAUAAGCAUCGGCUAACUCUGUGCCAGCAGCCGCGGUAAGACAGAGGAUGCAAGCGUUAUCCGGAAUGAUUGGGCGUAAAGCGUCUGUAGGUUGUUUAAAAAGUAUUCUGUCAAAGAUUAGGGCUUAACCCUAGAUAGGCAGAAUAAACUUUUAAGCUAGAGUUUGGUAGAGGCAGAGGGAAUUCCCGGUGGAGCGGUGAAAUGCGUAGAUAUCGGGAGGAACACCAAAGGCGAAGGCACUCUGCUGGGCCAAUACUAACACUGAGAGACGAAAGCGAGGGGAGCAAAUGGGAUUAGAUACCCGGGUAGUCC
rnacentral:rRNA from 1 species